rnacentral:rRNA from 1 species
UGUUACCUACGGGACGCAGCAGUGAGGAAUAUUGGUCAAUGGGCGCAGGCCUGAACCAGCCAAGUGGCGUGAAGGAUGACUGCCCUAUGGGUUGUAACCUUCUUUUAUAUGGGAAUAAAGUUUUCCACGUGUGGAAUCUUGUAUGUACCAUAUGAAUAAGGAUCGGCUAAUUCCGUGCCAGCAGCCGCGGUAAUACGGAGGAUCCGUGCGUUAUCUGGAUUUAUUGGGUUUAAAGGUAGCGUAGGUGGACAGUUAGGUCAGUUGUGAAAGUUUGCGGCUCAACCGUGAACUUGCAGUUGAUACUG